rnacentral:lncRNA from 1 species
GAUGCUGUUUUUGGAACAUGUAAUACCAAAUGUAUUUCAUUACCUUUAUUUUUUGCCUUUUUCUUUUCUGCAACCAUUUUUUCUACUCUCUGUGGUAUACCUACCUCCAUAAUUAUCAUGGAAAGUGUACCUACCAGUUGGAAUUCAGUGAGCCUGGGUGUGAUGUUUACACUUUGGAGAUUCAUUGGAUCUGUCCCUGCACCAAUAUUUUUUGCAGAAACAUCAGCUUUAUGUUGUAGUUUUUGGGACAUUGAUGAAUGUGGAAUUAAAGUACGUUGUUGGAUCUAUAAAGGGAAACAAUUGGUCUACACAUUUGUAGGAACAUGUAGAUCCACUCAUGAAAGGACCAUACGCUUAUGUGAAUUCUAUAAACUGUGAGGCCAGAGCAUCAUGAAAACGGAGGCAGUGCGUGUGGAGUGCCCGGAAAAACCAGGGUGAAGACUGAGCAUCAUCACUUGCCUGGUGCCGAGGGAAAGAACAAGCACCAAUCACAGGAUUGAAAAUGAAGACCUUGGUCAACUAUCAAGGCAGAACUCUGCAUCUUGGAACCAUCACUGCAAAAAUAGAAGGAAGGUUAUUAAAAAAUAAUUCCAUCUUUUGCCAUUGUGCUCAGAGGGUUACUAUCAGAGUAACACCUGCACUCUAAAAAUAAAGCUACAUUAUCCUGAGAGUCCA